GGUAUUCCUUAUAUCUAAUACGUUGAUUUGUCUGGAACCUGUCCCAUUGCGCUUUCGUGAAAGCGCAAUAAGACAGGUUCUGCGUUUAGUUGCCGCGCUCUAAAAAAUU
rfam:Yokenella regensburgei ATCC 43003 genomic scaffold Scfld3, whole genome shotgun sequence.